AGUGAACGCUGGCGGUAGGCCUAACACAUGCAAGUCGAACGGCAGCACAGAGGAGCUUGCUCCUUGGGUGGCGAGUGGCGGACGGGUGAGGAAUACAUCGGAAUCUACUCUGUUGUGGGGGAUAACGUAGGGAAACUUACGCUAAUACCGCAUACGACAUACGGGUGAAAGCAGGUGAUCUUCGGACCUUGCGCGAUAGAAUGAGCCGGUGUCGGAUUAGCAAGUUGUCGGGGUAAAGGCCCACCAAGGCGACAAUCAGUAGCUGGUCUGAGAGGAUGAUCAGCCACACUGGAACUGAGACACGGUCCAGACUCCUACGGGAGGCAGCAGUGGGGAAUAUUGGACAAUGGGCGCAAGCCUGAUCCAGCCAUACCGCGUGGGUGAAGAAGGCCUUCGGGUUGUAAAGCCCUUUUGUUGGGAAAGAAAUCCAUCUGGUUAAUACCCGGGUGGGAUGACGGUACCCAAAGAAUAAGCACCGGCUAACUUCGUGCCAGCAGCCGCCGUAA
rnacentral:rRNA from 1 species